AUAUCAAAAUUAUUAUAUUCUUUACAUCCUAAAGAUAUAAUGUAUAAAACAAACUCAUUUAAUUCAUCAGAAUUAUUUUCAUUGUCGUCUUCACCAUCUGUGCUAACACCAAAACAACUUCAACCAUCAUUAGCAUUAUCUUCUUUAUCAUUUACAUUACUUUCUUCUUCUUCUUCUUCUUCUUCUUGUUUAUCCACAAAUAAUAUACGAAAAAUGGACUUCCCAGUAGUACAAGCAAAUUAUAACGACCACAAUACCAAUGAAUGUUCAAAUAAUACAAUAGAAUUUGAAAAAUGCAAUAAAUAUAGUUCGAAUAAAAAAAGGACCGAAUUAACUCAGAAUGAGCGGACCAAAGUAAAUCAUAAUAAAGAGAAUGACAAAAAUACAGAAUUUAUUAAGCUAAAAAAAGGAACAAAUAAUCGCAUGUCAUUUAUAAAAACAUUUAAAGAGAACGGGUAUAAUACAACUGUAGUUAACAACGAAUCAGAAAAUAAUGACUUAAAAAAGGAACUAACCUACAUAAGUGAAAACAAAAAAAAGUUAAUAAAUUUUAAUUUUACUAACAAUAUACACAAUUCUACCAUAAAAUAUGAUAAUAUAUCCAUUUCGUUAGAUAAUGACAAUGACAAUAACAAUGGCAAUAACAAUAGCAAUGACAACGAAAAUGACAACGAAAAUGACAUUGACGAAAAUAUACAUCUUGAUAUACAUACAAAUGUUAAUAAAGUUAAAAACCUUUUUUUUUUAAUAAAAAAAUUAAAGCAUGAGAUAUUCCAUUUAGAAGAAACUGAUUAUGAACAAUUUUAUAAUUUAAGACUGCUUUUCAAAUAUUUAAAACAAAUAAUUUAUCGAUUUAAAAAAAACAAUUGUUUAUUUUUAUUUGUGAAAGAAAAAAAAUUGAUCAAUGUAAUUAAUGACAUUCAAGAAAUAGUUAACGAAAAAAAAGAAAGUUUGUCCAUAAAAAAAAAAAAUGAAAACCAUUUAAUUAAUUUGUCUUUGUCAUGUCUAAAAAAUAUACAGAAAAAGCUAAACGAAUUUAUGAAUUUAUUUUUACAAAAUUCUAAUGAUAUAUAUCAUAUAGUAAGCGAUAGUAGUAGAAAUAAUAACUUAGCAACGUUGGAUUAUGCUCAAAAUAUUGAAAAUGGUAGUAAUAAUAGUUUUUUAUUAGGAACUAAAAAUAGCGUCCUGAUAAAACAAAAUACAAAAGAAUAUAGUAUGAAUAAUAAUAAAUAUUUCACGGAUAAUAAAGAAUCCAAUUGUGUUACUAGUAUUAGUAAUUCCAUAAACAAAUUAUAUUAUACUAAUAAUGAACAUAACAUAGAUGAAACCAAAAGAUUAGAUGAUUUAAAUUGUUACUUAAAUAGUAUCAUAACCAUAUAUAAAGAUGCAAAUUUGAUAAAAAAUAUGCCAAAUAUUCAUUUAAAGAUAAUGAAAAAAUAUAAUCAAGAAUUGUCUUUACUGAAUGAGGUGAAAAAUAAUGAAAAAUAUAAUAAUGUUAAUAGUGUUUGUUUAAAUGACGAAACGGAUAUUCAAAGUUUUGCCAUUUUAUUAGAUUAUGAAAUUGAAAAAAGUGAAUACAACCUGAAAUCUUUAAAUCAAAAUACCAAUUAUGAGAUUAGUAAUAGUAAUAGCAAUUUAAAGAAAGAUCAAAUUAAGAAUAGUAAUAAACAAGUUAUAAACGACUAUUUUGCACUUCAACAAAAUAAGAACAUAAAUUUUCAUACGUAUCAUCCAUAUAAUGAAACCAUUAAUAAUGAUUACAAAUCUUAUUUGGCAGAAAAUGAUGUUAAUAAUAUAUAUUAUCACAAUUUUAGUGAUAAAAAUUUAUCUAGUAUUAUACUUUCUUCACAUGAAAUUGUUUUUACCAACAAACAAAAUUAAGCAGUAGUGAGAAUAACCCAACUGAAUAUUAUCAAAAUGAAGAUAAAAAAAAAAAAAAAAAAAAAAAAACACAGUAUUUUGAAAUCUAUUUACG
ensembl:lncRNA